AAUAUUGCACAAUGGGGGAAACCCUGAUGCAGCAACGCCGCGUGAGCGAUGAAGGNCUNNGGGUCNUNAAGCUCUGUCCUAAGNNNNNAAAUUUGACGGUACCUUUGGAGGAAGCCCCGGCUAACUACGUGCCAGCAGCCGCGGUAAUACGUAGGGGGCAAGCGUUAUCCGGAAUCACUGGGCGUAAAGGGUGUGUAGGCGGUCUUGCAAGUCAGAGGUGAAAGGCUACGGCUCAAACGUAGUAAGCCUUUGAAACUGUAGGACUUGAGUGCAGGAGAGGAAAGUGGAAUUCCUAGUGUAGCGGUGAAAUGCGUAGAUAUUAGGAGGAACACCAGUGGCGAAGGCGACUUUCUGGACUGUAACUGACGCUGAGGCACGGAAGUGUGGGUAGCGAACAG
rnacentral:rRNA from 1 species